rnacentral:sRNA from 1 species
GCGCAUAAAGAUGAGACGCGUUUUAGAGCUAUGCUGUUUUGAAAAAAACAGCAUAGCAAGUUAAAAUAAGGCUAGUCCGUUAUCAACUUGAAAAAGUGGCACCGAGUCGGUGCUU